AAAUAAUAACAGACACUUAUUGCAGUUAUGAUAUCUUCUCGCCAUUAGAAAACUAAACGAACAGAUUAUAACAUGCAAAGCAUUGGAAUUCAUGGCAGCGAACGAGGUCUGUGCCGGUUGUCUCAGAGAUAAUGAAGAAGAGAUUGCUGUCUCGUGGUGUAAUGACUGUGAUGAACCUGUGUGUCGACCUUGCAGUAAAGUUCAUAGAAGAUUUGUCAUACCUCACGAUGUUGUAGAUAUUAAACAUAUUCCUAACGUAAGCAAAGCCUUGACUAAGACUUGCAAAGACCACACAGGACAGAAAUUAAUCUUUGUUUGUGUAAAUCACGAUACAAUUGUGUGUCCUGCUUGUUUAUCUGAAUCACAUAAGGAGUGUGAUAUUAACCAUAUAGAGAAAGCUGCCAAAGGAAUCAAGGAUAGCUCAGCAAUACAUGAUCUCAAAGAACGAAUACACAACCAGAAAGGUGUCAUAUAAAAAGUGAAAGAGGAAUAUAAUGAGCUGUCUAGCAAGAUAGGCCAGGACAAGGAGCAGCAACAUGAACGACUGAUACAAUUACGUUCAACCAUUGAAGACCGUUUGAAUCGACUGGAGAAAAAUAUAGAUACUCAUUACAACCAAGGCGUUGAAAAAAUAUCAAGCAACACAGAACAUUUGAAGUCUCUAGCACAAACAACCCAAGCCAACCUGCAAGAUAUUGAAAAGGCAGACACAGAAGAGAGCGAAGUAAACUUAUUCCAUCUCGUGAAACAUCUCGAUACCAGUCAAUUGUCAGAUGAGGAAAAUCUUCAGUGUUUGGAAAAUGAAAUCAGUUCUUUGUCAAUACAGCAAAUUCCAGAAAAUGUCAUUGAAAAAGUUGACGCAAUGUUUAAUGAAUUUACUCAUGAUAUUCAGACGACGUCAAUAAAAGGUGAGCAAAGUGGGAAUAAGGCCCGGCAGUCACAAUUACGUAUCCAUUCAGAUGAAAAACAACCACUUAAUAAAAGUCGAACGUUUUACGCGGAUGUGUCUUCUACAUUCAAUGCCUGUUGCUUCAUUAACGAGAAUAAGAUAAUAGUUAUUGAAGAGCAAUUAAUUGACAUGAGCAAAAAUCUCAAUCUGCGAAUUAUUGAGCUGAAAGAUGGCCAGGCUCUCUCUUUUAUAGUUCUCAAAGGAUAUCACCAUGGUACUUGUUUUGAUACAAUAUGCAUGUUUGAUCGAAACAACGCACUUAUUGUUGGACAUAUGUGUGUAUACGUCAUAGACCUAGAAUUGAAAAAAUAUGCCCGUACAAUUAAUCUAGGAUACGAAUUAUCAUGCUGCAAAUGGGUUACUUGUAUCGAAAGCCAGAUUAUGAUUCUUUGUGGAAAAUCUGAGCGUCACUUCAUUUCUUGGAUAGAUUAUAACGGGAAAAAUUUGAGGAAACUGGAUUUACCAUAUGGUGUUUGUGAUUUAGAUAUCAAUGAUAAAAUUGUGUACUGCACUUUCAGCAAUGCAAACCAUGUGACCUAUACAACCUUCUCUGGUGUGACUAAUACAUCUUACACUAGUCUGGACUUGAGGGAAAGCUGUAAGAUUGCAGCUGGGGAUUCUACGAUAUUUCUGUUAGAAAGGGAUAGAAAUUCUGUCUACAAAGUAGAUAUUACAACCAAACAACGUUCUGUUUUUCUUAAGGACAAGUUCACUAACCCAACGCAUAUGAGUUUUGAUAGAAAGUCAAAACAACUCGCAGUGACGUGUGAUGAGGGAAAAUGUUUGAAAAUCUUCAAUACAUGUUUUUAAUGUGGACAUAACUGUUGUUGGAGUUAACCUGUAAACUUGUUAUAUUAUUGCUAAAAAAAGGGAAAUGUACGUUUGCUGAAAAAUUGCAUUUCUUAUAAUUGAAUUAGUCUAAUUAAAAUGAUUGUUGUGGGCUGUUUAAUUAUAAGCAAGAGAGAAUUGGAAAUAUAUACUGGAUUCUCUAAAAUUCAUGACAAUGUUUUACAAAACUAACAAUAGCAAAAAGAAUAGAUGAAGACGGAAUGAGUCUUCUAAAGUCAGUCUCCAACGGUAUCAUUACGUACAUUUCAACUCUUAACUUUUUUGGCGAUAAGACGCAUCAUUGAAAUUGGCGAGUUUUUAACAUUUGAGAAAAUAAGAUACCAAUUGCAUCAUGAAUGAAGACAACGAAAGAAAGGAGAUGAAAGUAUAAAAAAAACGGACCAAAAAUCAAAUAUGAAUCGUUUGGAACAAUUAUCUCGUCAAAACUGAGAGGGACAACUGGCGGUCCGGAAAGAGUAAACACUUAGUGGUCUUCUAGUUGCAAAUAGUUUGACGGAAUGUCGAGUAGGAAACCUGUAAAUCUUCCCCCAUUGAUAUACAUAUGCAAACAAAUGCAGUUGUGCAUUGUUUUGUUAUCAACAUUAAGAAAAUUCGGAUGUAAAACACACCAAUCUGAUUAAAUACAGAUCCUCUGUAAAACACGCUUCGUUCUACGUUUUGUUGUAAAGUCCUUUCGGGAUCCUCUUGUUUUGUCGGAUAAAUACACACCUUCAAAAAUUUGAGAGCUAACAUUUCAUUGGCUGAUAUAAUAAUAUCCAGAACAGAAAGUAAAAAGUAGUGUUUUCAGAUCGUUGUAACCAAAGCUUUGACACAUGAUCUGUAUUUUAAUCAGAUUAAAAACAUAUUUUCAUCAGUUCAAUUGACACUAAUAUUUGAAUCAUGAAUAUAUAUGAGGGGCCUGAUGGGGGGAUCUCAUCACGAUUCACGAGUUGAUUUUUUUGUCAAUCACGAUUCACAGAAAAUAAAUUUCCAUGAUCACGGAUCACGAAAAUAUAAAAAAAAAAAAUCUGUAGAAAAACGGAUCACGAUAGCGAAAAUGCGCCGAUCACGAAGAACGAAAAUAACCCAUCAGGCCCCUCAUAUAUUUAUUAAAAUAAUAUUAAAAUUUUAGGAUUUGGUCAUCUAAAUGUUUUCAAAUUUUAUAUACAUACUUUCCAACAAAGAAUCAUUGAUAAGGUUAUAGGGACACCUUUAAAUUCGAAAAGUUAAAUUCGUUUCGUAAAAAAAAAAUGUAUUACAAGGAGACAGAUUAACAUACGCACUUGUUGCUUGUUUCUGAAUCAUAUGUGUGAAUGUGAAUAUAUUGUAAUUCAGACUAUAAUAUAGUAAUUCUUUUUAAGUAUUAGUUUAUGCUUGUGUUGUAAAUUGUUUAAGUUUUCAUAUUUCUGUGUAUUGGCUUGAGUGUCCUUUAAGCACCUGCCCUUGGUGACUCCUGCAUAUGAACAACAAUACUAUUUGUUCAUAUGCAUCAGCCACGAGGAAGGACUUAACUCAAAAGCUUUUUCUAUAAUGGAUGUGAUGCUGCUUCUGGUGCAUGGUCAAUAAACACUAAACAUUAUGGUUUUUAUGGCUAUAUAUAUUAUUGACUCAAUUUAUAUUUCAUGUUUUUUGUGAGUUGUAUUUCUAUUUUUUAUUUUCUUGUGUAUUGUCUAUUGCAAUUGUGUGAUAAAAAAUCAAUGUACUGAUUAUAUAGAUAUAGGAAGAUGUGGUAUGAGUGCCAAUGAGACAACUCUCCAUCCAAGUUACAAUUUAUAAAAGUAAACCAUCAUAGGUCAAGGUACGGCCUUCAACACGGAGCAUUGGCUCACACCGAACAGCAAGCUAUAAAGGGCCCCAAAAAAUUACUAGUGUAAAACCAUUCAAACGGAAAAACCUAUGCCUAUAAUGGGUCCUCUAUUGGAAAUAAAAAUGUAUCUUAUCUUAUCUUGUCUUAUAAUAAUUCAUAAUAAAAUAUUGUGUUUUUUUUAUACACUAAAAAUAUAUAUUCAUAGAAUUGAAACGAACCCCCGUAUAUUACAUUUUUUUAACUAACAUAUCCUUUUAUUGCAUUCAGUGGUUUCACUGAGGCAUAUGUCCGACAGUCUGUUGAGCAUCAGUUUGAAAAUAAUUUAAGAAUCGAUGAACGGUCAAUUAUAGAUGAUUGUCAUUAUAAUUAAAGUAUGUUAACAUGA